rnacentral:rRNA from 1 species
GAUGAACGCUGGCGGCGUGCCUAAUACAUGCAAGUCGAGCGAACGGACGAGAAGCUUGCUUCUCUGAUGUUAGCGGCGGACGGGUGAGUAACACGUGGAUAACCUACCUAUAAGACUGGGAUAACUUCGGGAAACCGGAGUUAAUCCCGGAUAUUAUUUUGAACCCCAUGGUUCAAAAGUGAAAGCCGGCCUUGCUUUCCCUUAUAGAUGGUUCCGCGCUGCAUUAGCUAGUUGGUAAGGUAACGGCUUACCAAGGCAACGAUGCAUAGCCGACCUGAGAGGGUGAUCGGCCACACUGGAACUGAGACACGGUCCAGACUCCUACGGGAGGCAGCAGUAGGGAAUCUUCCGCAAUGGGCGAAAGCCUGACGGAGCAACGCCGCGUGAGUGAUGAAGGUCUUCGGAUCGUAAAACUCUGUUAUUAGGGAAGAACAUAUGUGUAAGUAACUGUGCACAUCUUGACGGUACCUAAUCAGAAAGCCACGGCUAACUACGUG